AUGAGCGAGCCGGUGCCGGUGAGGCUGCUGGGCUCCUUCGGGAGCCCGUUCACGCACCGUGCCGAGGCGGCGCUCAGGCUGAAGGGGGUGCCUUACGAGUUCAUCCAGGAGGACCUCGGCAGCAAAAGCGAGCUGCUGCUCCGGCACAACCCCGUGCACAAGAAGGUGCCCCUGCUUCUCCACGGCGACGACGACGACGACAUCCGCGCCGUCGCCGAGUCGCUCGUCAUCGUCGAGUACGUCGACGAGGCCUUCGAGGGCCCGCCGCUCCUGCCGGCCGACCCGCUCGCCCGCGCCGCCUCCCGCUUCUGGGCGCAGUUCGCCUCCGACAGGUGCUCGAGGACGCUGUUCAAGGCGCUGUGGACGCCGGAGGGCGAGGCGCGGAGGGGGUUCGUGGAGGAGGCCAAGGAGAACCUGGCGCUCAUGGAGGCGCAGCUGGAGGGGAGGCGCUUCUUCGGAGGCGACUCCAUAGGGCUGCUCGACAUCGCCGCCAGCGGGCUCGCCUGGCUCCCCGUGCUGGAGGAGGUCGCCGGCGUGGAAACUAGCAUGAUCCGCGAGGAGGAUUACCCUGAGUUGUGCCGGUGGCGCGGGGAGUACGCCUCCGACGAGGCCGUGAAGAAGUGCUUGCCGAGCAGGGACGAAAUGGUCGCCUACUACGCGGCCAUGAAGGACCGUUUCGUGCUCCAUGCCAAGUCAAUGCACAAGAAAUAA
rnacentral:rRNA from 1 species